rnacentral:lncRNA from 12 species
AAGGAUUUAACUAGAGAGCAACCUGUCUUCUAUGUUUAAGGACUCCUUUAACAGGAUCUGAAGUGACACUUGUCAGUAUUUACAAGCUGUAAAGGUUUUAUUGGGUUCAGGGAUCUGAUUGGCUUCAAGAUCCUCAGUGUCUCUUAGGGCAAAACUGGUAACAUCAGCAAAC